CAGGGACUGGUGAUAACAUGUCCACAGUAUGAAAGACGAAGUCCUGUCAUCCUGGGCUCUAAGGAACAUUCUGGCCAUACUUCUUCCAAGACAGCAACGUGGAAUGGCUGUGUGAAGUCUUGAAUGCAGACCUGGAUUCUUUUCUGGACAAGAUCAUGAUCUGAGCAAAGACAGUCCGUUUUCUGGUGCACUUCCUUGCCUCCCCUGAGCUGUCUGCCCGGAUACUGUUCCAGUACUGAAGGGGUCCCUGGACUUGAGAGGACUGGACCCUCAAUUUCUCCAGCCUCAUCAUCUCUAACUGGUGACCAACUGUGCAUCUCAGCUCUAACUGCAAGGUGACAAAAGGAAUUAAGAGUCCCAGGAAGUUUCAAGAACUUGAAAUCAUGGCAAGCAUUAUAAAGACUGGCCUCCAGGCUUGGGGGGUCCUCUGGAUAACCCAGCAGCAGUGGCCAGAUGCAGUGCUAUCGCCUGGAGGCGGGACCCCCACUGUGAAUCCCUGCACAGCUGCAGCUUAGCCAUACGCAACUCUUCCUCCAGAGAUUGUGGAGCGAGGGACCCCUAGCGUCACAGUUCCCCUGGCCCCUUAGAAUGAAA